rnacentral:lncRNA from 10 species
AAUCCCAGCACUUCGGGAGGCUGAGGCGAGUGGAUCACCUGAGGUCAGGAGUUUGAGACCAGCCUGGCCAACAUGGUGAAAUCUCGCCUCUACUAAAAAUACCAAAAGUAGCUGGGUGUGGUGGUGGGUGCCUAUAGUCUCAGCUACUCAGGAGUCUGAGGCAGGAGAAUCGCUUGAACCCAGGAGGUGGAAGUUUCAGUGAGCUGAGAUCGCAUCACUGCACUCCAGCCUGGGCGACAGAGUGAGACUCCGUCUCAAAAAAAAAAAAGCAUCAAGAGAGUCCACAAGGAGGAACGGAGGGAAAUGAAAAUAUUUCUGAUCUCCUAAAAUCCCUUCAGAAGGCGUGACAAGGAGAGAAACGAAGGAUAACUAGAGAAAAAGUAGAAUCAGAAAAUCUCUGGUCACGAGGAAGGUGUCGAUCACACCUGGCUGUAGGCCCAA